AUGGGAGGCCACACUCGGAGGGGCAGAGACUUCCUCCUCCUCCUCUUCUCCCAGCAGGCCUCGCUUUGGGGAGUCCUCUGAGCCCCUAGUUAUAUAGCUGGGCCAAUUAUGAUGGCACAGGCCACAGAGGGUGACAGUUCUCCUAAUAACUGUACCCUCCUCAUGGUGACAUCGAUGCUGAGGGUAGUGACAGAGAAGUUAUAUCGUGAAGUUAAAGAUCAGCCUGCGGUCUGCGCUUGAAGGCCUCAAGACAGCUGCAGAAUUCUUUUCCACCCAGCCACCUAGUGCCUGGCCUACCAUAGGAAGUAAUAGCCAAUGUGUGGGCAGUGAGCCAGUGUACCCUGAUUGGAUAGCGCCUUGGACCAAAGGCUUGAGCGAUUAGGAGCUCAGCAGGUGGGAGGUUGAGGGUUAGGUUCACAGAUCUGGUCUGAUCUUGCAUAUCCCAAGGGCUCCCUCAGUCUUACAUGACCCCCAUUCUCAUCAGCCUGGGAUGCCUCAAGUCCUGGUGGUCUUUGCUUCAGUACCCAGCCUGGGAAAGAAAAGGUCAAGUUGUAUUUUACUAGAGCCACCUCUGAUCACCCUGCCACUCAUACUGAGAUGAUCCUGCCUGCAUGGCCCUGCGCACACUUCUGUACUCCUGAAGAACUGCCCCUUCCCACCCAUGCUUCUGUGUGUGUGUGUGUGUGUGUGUGUGUGUGUGUGUGUGUGUGUGUGUUCAGAAGACUACUCUCAGGAGGGGUUUUCUCUCCUUGAACUCAGCUCGAUGACAUGUUCCUGUACCUGCUGAGACAGUCUCAGCUCAAGGACUCUUCCUCCAGUUCUGGGGUUCCAGUUUUAAGUUCAUUUUUUAAUAAACAUGCCAAGUGAAAACUCCGA